AGGCUGGUCUCAAACUCCUGACCUUGUGAUCCACUGGCCUCGACCUCCAAACAUGCUGGGAUUACAGGCGUAAGCCACCGCGCCUGGCUCAAGUGCUACUUUUAAAGCUAAAAGCCCCACUUAACAUGCUAGCGCACUCUGACGCACUCUCAUAUCCUUGCUUUAUGGAAGGCAACUCUAAUGUCAGUGCUUGCUAAAUACAAAUACAGGACUUUUGCUGUGACUGCCAUGAUUUAGAGCCAGACACUGCAAAUUACAUCCUCCAUCUCUCGUGAGUCCUGUUCUUCCUUCCCAGGACUUUGAUCAGAAAGCGCACCCACUGCUGAGUGCUGAGUGCUGAAGAGAUGGCCUUGGCCCUGGCAUUAGGCAUCCUUGGCUUGAAACUCACUUCUGCUGCUUGUCACCUGUGUGAACUUGAGCAGUUCUGGAGGCUGAAAAGUCCAACAUCAAGGCGCCAGCAGAUUCAUGGUCUGAUAGUUGUCGCUUACCAUUGGAAUACUCAGGAAACUUCAAAAGAAGGUGUGAUCUGAGCUUUCCUGAAAGACAGCUCCACUGAUCACAGCACAUUCGACGGUUGGGUCCAGAGUCCCCUACGUCUGGAAGUUGGAGCAGACCCUCUCACACUCUGGGAGCCCACAUGGAGGCAGGUAAUUGGCAAGGUGAGGGGCGGCAGUGUGUGGGUGGUUUAUUAGAAAGUGAAGCCUGGAGGCAUGUGAAGGAUGGUCAGCGAUGGUAAAGAAAGAGCUGAGAAGAAAGAGCAACCAGGAGGUUCAGGUAAGAGUGCAGGUGAGAGACGAUGAGAACCUGGGUCAGGAUGGCGGCCCCAGGGAUGGAGGGGAGAGACACGGGAGAUGGUGGGAUUGGUGACUGCUGGUACACCAGUGAGCCAGAGGGCGGGUCAGGAUGAAGGCCAGCUCCUGGCUUGGGUGAUGAGCGGCUUGGGAUGCAGUCACCCAACCUAGCCAAGGCUAGAAGUGGAAAGUACUGGGUGUGUGUCGGUUGGGAGCUACCACUUCAUUCAGUCACAAAACCAUGCUUACACGACUCAAGCCUCCAAAUCUCACCGAGGCCUUCCUGCUGAACUUACAAGUCCUUCGUAAAGAAAAAAAAAUUUUUUUUGGUUAUCUGUAACUGUAAUUGUGCCAAAUGUUUAUCUUUUUAAAAAGCUAUGCAGCACCUGUCUCCCUCCCUGCUUCUGGGGCACCCCCCGCAUGAGUGUUAUUGGUGGAACCCCGACCACUGCUCCUCCCUACAGCGGUAAAGGUGGGUUCCUCCCUCCCUUCAUGCUCCAGCUCACGUCCUGGAUUCAACCAUCUGGAUGCUGGGAUGGUUAUGUUAUAUGUCAACUCGGCUAGGCCAUGGUACUUAGAUGUUUGGUUAAGUGCUUAGUCUAGAAAUUACUGUGAAGGUAUUUUUUUAGAUGAGAUUAACAUUUAAAUUGGUUAACUUUAGGCAGAGCAGAUUACUCUCCAUGGUGUGGGUGGGCCUCUUCCUAUCAGCUGAAAACCUCAAGGGAAAGACUGAUGUUCCCCUAAGCAGAGGGAAUUCUGCCAAUAGACAACUUUUAGACUCCAACAGCAUCUCCUCUUCCCUGGGUCUCCAUCCUGUUGGCCUACUUCCUCUCUCUCUUUCUACUGCUGAUUGCCUGUGUUUAUAGGGAGAACCCUAAGACAGAUAUACUCACCAAGUCCUUAAAACCAGCUAGAGGAAUGCAUAGGAGGAGAGAGGACGCAUUCCCAGUAGUUUCAGCAGAGUAAAGGACCAGCACUGAAUACUUUCGUGAGAACACUUUGGGUGGGAGUACUAAGAAUCAGUUUGCCCCCUUCAUAAGUAAAACCAGGACAUAAAAACCAUAAACAAGCUGCUGUCAUUACUGUCAUCCCAGGCAAGUUCCUUAGGCCUCUCCUUGAUUUAGUAAACUCUCAACAACCUUCUAAUGAAUUCUCUCAUUUUUAAAAAAACUUAAAAUAGUCAGAGUUUGGCUGGGCGUGGUGGUUCACGCCUGUAAUACCAGCACUUUGGGAGGCCAAGGGGUGGAUCACUUGAUGU